CUUCCAACCCCUUCCGCUGGAACUGGUUGUUCUAGGCCAACCAUCGAACCUGGCCUUGAACACUUCGAGGGAUGGGGCAUCCACAGCUUCUCUGGGCAUCCUGUGACAGUGCUUCACCACCCUCACAGUUCCCUUAAGGUACUGGAAAGCCAGAGUUAGGUCACCCUGAAGCUUGUCUUCUGGCUGAACAAUCCCCAAAAUUCUCUCAGCCUUUCCUCACAGCAGAGCUGCUCCACCCUUCUGAUCACCUUGGUGGCCUCCUCCGGACUCACCCCUGCAGCUCCAUGUCCUUCCUGCGCUGGGCUCCCAGUGCAGGAGGCACCUUUCAGGUGGGGUCUCACCUGAGUGGGGCACAAUCCCUCCCUUUCCCUGCAGCCCAAGGACACGUCUGGCUUUCUGGGCUGCAUGCACUGAUUGCCAGCUCAUGUCCAGCCUGUCAUCCAGUGUUCUGUUCUGUAAGAUGUACAGCCUGAGGCUUGUGCCAGCAUUUUUUAAAGAGAUACAUGGCCUCAAAUUUAGCUUGUUACUGAAUUUCCUACUCCAUGACUGUAAUAAUUAAGUGGCGAUAAAAGUACAGAUGUUGUGUGUUAUAAAUGAGAAGCUUGACUAGGCCAAUAUUCAAGCAGCAAUCAAUUUAUUAAGAUGGUAAAGUAUGAGCAAUACAAUGCUGGGUACAGUGGGGGAAAUUUUCCCUCCAACUGCACGCCCAUAGUUGGGGCUUACAGAUAUUUAUAGGGGUGCUCAUAAGCUUUCUCAGCAGUUUCCAUUCCCAAUUUUUACAUCACAAUUCUAUACACUAUUGUGAUUUAGUUUUUCUCAAGUUGUAUCCCAGAAAGGAGUAUCUCCACAAUGUGGGGUCCAGCUUCCGAAAGAAGAGAGAAGUCUUCCAGCUGGUGAGGUCCAGAUUCCAGGUGCGGGUUCACCUUUGAAUUGCAAGGACUAUAAAUCUCAUAACAGUGAUGUCCAGCUUUCCUUGGUCGAAACUAUCAAUCCUUGAGUUUAUGUUCAUCUUCCUUUCUCAAGCUGCUUUUCAAUAUUUUGUCAAGGCGUCGAGAUAAGCGUGUUUCUUUUUUAUAUAUUCUAAAGCUAUGGUUUCAAAGAUCCUUACUACAAGUACUAUUCUAAAAUUAUACUUCAAAAGGUUA